CCUGCCACUGUGCCUGUCUGAACUGGUGACUUGCACGAUCCAGUGGUGGCUGAGAGAAAUGCCAGCCUAAGGAAGCAGGGUGAGCCUCUCCAAGUAGGUCACUCUGUGCCAACAGGUCUGGGACAUGC
ensembl:snoRNA